rnacentral:rRNA from 1 species
UACGUAGGGGGCAAGCGUUGUCCGGAUUUAUUGGGCGUAAAGCGCUCGCAGGUGGUUCGUCGCGUCGUGCGUGAAAGACCCCGGCUCAACUGGGGGAGGUCGUGCGAUACGGGCGAACUGGAGGCCAGUAGGGGGAUGCGGAAUUCCGGGUGUAGUGGUGGAAUGCGCAGAUAUCAGGAGGAACACCGGUGGCGAAGGCGGGUCUCUGGGCAACAACUGACGCUGAGGAGCGAAAGCGUGGGGAGCGAACAGG